GCAGGCUGCAACCCGCCUGCAUGAAGCUGGAAUCGCUAGUAAUCGCGGAUCAGAAUGCCGCGGUGAAUACGUUCCCGGGUCUUGUACACACCGCCCGUCACACCAUGGGAGUCGGUAACGCCCGAAGUCAGUGACCCAACCGUAAGGAGGGAGCUGCCGAAGGCGGGACUGGUAACUGGGGUGAAGUCGUAACAAGGUAGC
rnacentral:rRNA from 1 species